rnacentral:rRNA from 1 species
GACGAACGCUGGCGGCGCGCCUAACACAUGCAAGUCGAACGGAGCUGAGAGAAGCUUGCUUUUCUUAGCUUAGUGGCGAACGGGUGAGUAACGCGUGAGUAACCUGCCCUGGAGUGGGGGACAACAGUUGGAAACGACUGCUAAUACCGCAUAAGCCCACGAUCCGGCAUCGGAUUGAGGGAAAAGGAUUUAUUCGCUUCAGGAUGGACUCGCGUCCAAUUAGCUAGUUGGUGAGGUAACGGCCCACCAAGGCGACGAUUGGUAGCCGGACUGAGAGGUUGACCGGCAACAUUGGGACUGAGACACGGCCCAGACUCCUACGGGAGGCAGCAGUGGGGAUAUUGCACAAUGGGGGAAACCCUGAUGCAGCGACGCCGCGUGGAGGAAGAAGGUUUUCGGAUUGUAAACUCCUGUCGUUAGGGACGAUAAUGACGGUACCUAACAAGAAAGCACCGGCUAACUACGUG